rnacentral:rRNA from 12 species
AAAACGACUCUCGGCAACGGAUAUCUCGGCUCUCGCAUCGAUGAAGAACGUAGCGAAAUGCGAUACUUGGUGUGAAUUGCAGAAUCCCGUGAACCAUCGAGUCUUUGAACGCAAGUUGCGCCCCAAGCCUUCUGGCCGAGGGCACGUCUGCCUGGGUGUCACA